CUUGCCCAGCCCUUCUUGUGGAGCACAAGAAGGCCUCUGCAGAAGCCUCAUUCAGAAUCUUGAAACUAUCAGCCUUUCAAACUGUGUGGGGCAGGAGGUGGGCAGUCAGAAAGAUGCUUUGUGAGGGGAAGGAAAACAGCACUCAUUCCCCUCUGCAGAGUAAAGGGAAGCCUGGCCCCAGGAAGGAGCAGCUGCCUGCAAGAGGGAGCCUGAGCCGUGGAGUCCUGGGAGCCUAUGAGGGGACACAACAGGCUUGUUUUGUUCCACAUGGACCGUAGCUGACAGAUGAAGAAAGGGGUAAGGAAUCCGUCAAUACAAAAGUGAGUUUCCUGUGUUAUCUCUGAUUGAGGCAGGGAUCUCAGAUGUCCAUUUAUCAGAGGCUUUGGGUAUCAAAGCUUGGGGGUGUUCCAAAAUAGGUUAACAAAUUAGGGUGCCUUUUAUAUAUUUAUAUUAUUUUUUAUUUAAACAAAUUUUAAAGUUUUAUUUAGGUAAGAACAUUUAACAUGAGAUUUACCC
rnacentral:lncRNA from 1 species